UACGAAGGGGGCUAGCGUUGUUCGGAAUCACUGGGCGUAAAGCGCACGUAGGCGGACUUAUAAGUCAGGGGUGAAAUCCCGGGGCUCAACCCCGGAACUGCCUUUGAUACUGGAAGUCUUGAGUCCGAGAGAGGUGGAGUGGAACUCCGAGUGUAGAGGUGAAAUUCGUAGAUAUUCGGAAGAACACCAGUGGCGAAGGCGGCUCACUGGCUCGGGUACUGACGCUGAGGUGCGAAAAGCGUGGGGGAGCAAACAGGGAUUAAGAUACCCGCGUAGUC
rnacentral:rRNA from 1 species